GGCCUCGUGGCCCAAUGGCAAGGCGCUUGACUACGAUCAGAUUUUGGAAUCAAGAGAUUCUGGGUUCGACCCCCAGCGAGGUCA